rnacentral:misc_RNA from 1 species
GAUGAAGAACGCAGCAAAAUGCGAUAAGUAGUGUGAAUUGCAGAAUUCAGUGAAUCAUCGAAUCUUUGAACGCACAUUGCGCCCGCCAGUAUUCUGGCGGGCAUGCCUGUUCGAGCGUCAUUUCAACCCUCAAGCACAGCUUGGUGUUGGGACUCGCGUUAAUUCGCGUUCCCCAAAUUGAUUGGCGGUCACGUCGAGCUUCCAUAGCGUAGUAGUAAAACCCUCGUUACUGGUAAUCGUCGCGGCCACGCCGUUAAACCCCAACUUCUGAAUGUUGACCUCGGAUCAGGUAGGAAUACCCGCUGAACUUAAGCAUAUCAAUAAGCGGAGGA